AGUGAAUAGAUACCCGGGUAGUCCACGCCCUAAACUAUGUCAACUAGGUGUUGGGUGGGUAAAACCAUUUAGUACCGUAGCUAAACGCGUGAAAGUUGACCGCCUGGGGAGUACGGCCGCAAGGUUAAAACUCAAAGGAAUUGACGGGGACCCGCACAAGCGGUGGAUGAUGUGGAUUAAUUCGAUGCAACGCGAAAAACCUUACCUACCCUUGACAUGCCAGGAACUUGCCAGAGAUGGCUUGGUGCCCGAAAGGGAGCCUGGACACAGGUGCUGCAUGGCUGUCGUCAGCUCGUGUCGUGAGAUGUUGGGUUAAGUCCCGCAACGAGCGCAACCCUUGUCGUUAAUUGCCAUCAUUUGGUUGGGCACUUUAACGAGACUGCCGGUGACAAACCGGAGGAAGGUGGGGAUGACGUCAAGUCCUCAUGGCCCUUAUGGGUAGGGCUUCACACGUCAUACAAUGGUCGGUACAGAGGGUUGCCAAGCCGUGAGGCGGAGCCAAUCCCAGAAAGCCGAUCGUAGUCCGGAUUGCAGGCUGCAACUCGCCUGC
rnacentral:rRNA from 1 species